rnacentral:tRNA from 1 species
GCCUUCAUAGUGUAGUGGUCAGCACGCUCGACGUGUAACCGAGAGGUACGUGGUUCAAUUCCCGUUGAAGGCG